rnacentral:rRNA from 1 species
AUUGAACGCUGGCGGCAUGCUUUACACAUGCAAGUCGAACGGUAACAGGUUAAGCUGACGAGUGGCGAACGGGUGAGUAAUGCAUCGGAACGUGCCCGAUCGUGGGGGAUAACGCAGCGAAAGCUGCGCUAAUACCGCAUACGAGCUGAGGAUGAAAGCGGGGGACCGUAAGGCCUCGCGCGAUAGGAGCGGCCGAUGUCAGAUUAGGUAGUUGGUGGGGUAAAGGCCCACCAAGCCAACGAUCUGUAGCUGGUCUGAGAGGACGACCAGCCACACUGGGACUGAGACACGGCCCAGACUCCUACGGGAGGCAGCAGUGGGGAAUUUUGGACAAUGGGCGAAAGCCUGAUCCAGCAAUGCCGCGUGCAGGAAGAAGGCCUUCGGGUUGUAAACUGCUUUUGUACGGAGCGAAAAGGUCCUUUCUAAUACAAGGGGCUCAUGACGGUACCGUAAGAAUAAGCACCGGCUAACUACGUGCCAGCCGCCGCAGUAA